UACGAAGGGUGCAAGCGUUACUCGGAAUUACUGGGCGUAAAGCGUGCGUAGGUGGUGAGUUAAGUCUGUCGUGAAAGCCCCGGGCUCAACCUGGGAAUGGCGAUGGGAUACUGGCUCGCUAGAGUGCGGUAGAGGAGAGUGGAAUUCCCGGUGUAGCAGUGAAAUGGCGUAGAGAUCGGGAGGAACAUCAGUUGCGAAGGCGGGCUCUCUGGACCAGCACUGACACUGAGGCACGAAAGCGUGGGGAGGCAAACAGG
rnacentral:rRNA from 1 species